rnacentral:rRNA from 1 species
UACGUAGGGGGCAAGCGUUGUCCGGAUUUAUUGGGCGUAAAGAGCGUGUAGGCGGUUUGGUAGGUCCGUUGUGAAAACUCGAGGCUCAACCUCGAGACGCCGAUGGAAACCAUCAGACUAGAGUCCGGGAGAGGAGAGUGGAAUUCCUGGUGUAGCGGUGAAAUGCGCAGAUAUCAGGAAGAACACCCGUGGCUAAGGCGGCUCUCUAGUACGGUACUGACGCUGAGACGCGAAAGCGUGGGGAGCGAACAGG